rnacentral:rRNA from 1 species
GAUGAACGCUGGCGGCGUGCCUAAUACAUGCAAGUCGAGCGAACGGACGAGAAGCUUGCUUCUCUGAUGUUAGCGGCGGACGGGUGGGUAACACGUGGAUAACCUACCUAUAAGACUGGGAUAACUUCGGGAAACCGGAGCUAAUACCGGAUAAUAUUUUGAACCGCAUGGUUCAAAAGUGAAAGACGGUCUUGCUGUCACUUAUAGAUGGAUCCGCGCUGCAUUAGCUAGUUGGUAAGGUAACGGCUUACCAAGGCAACGAUGCAUAGCCGACCUGAGAGGGUGAUCGGCCACACUGGAACGGAGACACGGUCCAGACUCCUACGGGAGGCAGCAGUAGGGAAUCUUCCGCAAUGGGCGAAAGCCUGACGGAGCAACGCCGCGUGAGUGAUGAAGGUCUUCGGACCGUAAAACUCUGUUAUUAGGGAAGAACAUAUGUGUAAGUAACUGUGCACAUCUUGACGGUACCUAAUCAGAAAGCCACGGCUAACUACGUG